rnacentral:tRNA from 1 species
AUUUAUAUAGUUUAAUAUAUAAAACAUUAUAUUUUCAUUAUAAAAAUAAUAGUUAUUUAUAAAUU